UAUUCCACAGUCCACGAAACUGAAUCACAUGAAUUUUUAAAGCUUCCUCAAUUUUCUCCAGCUGAACAUUUAUUUGCGGUGUUGCACUAAAUUUUUGGAUUAUUGUGCCACUAAUAAGAAUCAAUGAGUGAGUGGUUGAAGGGGGGGGUAGCAUAUGGGGGAGGUGUAGAAAACAAAUUGGAGCAGUGGAAACCCAAUUCCAUUCGUAAUAGCCUGUCAACAAGGCAUAUUGUUGUUCAUUUUGCUGUUAUUAUUUCUAUUGUAAAUUGAUAUCGCGAAACGAGUUGCAAAAAAAAGAGGGCAAAAGCUGAUUGUUCGGGCAAUCGAGCACUUCAAGUGCUCGAUGUGUAAUUAUGGGUUUACCAAAAACUUAGUGUAAACAAUACGGAAAACCGAACUGCAAGUUAUCCCAAAAAGCAAUUGAUUUUCAUUUGGCGAACUUGUCGCUUUUGUAAACUGAAUCGAAAUGCCAUCGCCUUCAUUCUAGUUGUGUGGCAUCAUAAAUUCCCUUGACAACCAAAUACCUCGAUGUGAAAAUAAAUAAAAACCGAAGUAAAAAGUCGGGGGAGCUACAGAACGAAAGAGUGGAAAUGGAAUGGUGGAUUGAAACCGAAACCAUGGGCUGGCUUUGGGCUCAUGUCGGUGACGCAUCUUAUGGAUGGAACAUGGUGCAAAGAAAAGAUACAGAAAGCAGAACGGGCCAGACUCUAAAAAACCAAAACGAGACACAAUCAGAUGGCAAAAUGAGUAGAGGGCCACCAAACCAGAUCGCGUGGCUGCUUAUCGAAUAAAUUGAAGUGAGCCCAUAUGAAUCAAGUCCAAUAUCAAUGCCCAAUGAGCAAGAAGGAGUCUAAUCUCAACAGUCUUUCGUUUUAAUGACUAAUGGCCGAGUUUUCAGCCAAUAUUCUGUCACAAAAAUAAUACCGAUUAAAAAAAGCCAAAUCAAAAGCUACACAUAUUAUUUGAAACCAAAGCAUUCAAAGAGACAAGUCGAAAAUAAACCAUUUAAUGUUUCUGAUAAAUUGCGGUGUACAUUAUAACAUAGACUUAUUGAUUUCAUUGUUCGCUGUCACACAAAGAUAUCAAUAUGCGUAAUCAAAUUAAUUACCAAUUCUGUCUUAUUUUCUACAAAUGAAAAUCUAUGAAUUGUGUUCCAUCAUAAAUGUGUUCGCCAUUCAUUCAAAAUAAGUUAAUUGUGUCUCAGUAAAUUUCUGUAUACAAGAUUUAUUUGAGGUACAAUAAAUUUCAUUUCGUUUUUAAUUGCAAUAAACACAAUAACUUAGUUUCAAAUAUCAAAAAGGCACGAUAUAAUGAAAUUCCCGUCUUUUAUGAGAAAUGUGAAAUUUAAUCAAUUUCAAUUUCGUCAAAAUUAAUCGAAUGGAAAGCGUUCGAAAAGCUGAUGAUUUAUAGAUUUCGGUGGCCAGCUAGAACGCAAUAAAUCCAAUUGAGGAAAUCCCCCGAAUGCAAAGGAAUUCCAUAUGGAAAGUGGGGAACUUAACGCUUGGUUUGCCCAUGUAUAUUCCCAUAUAAUCCCGGCCCUGGCAACAAAACAUUGCAUUGUGCCACGCCCCCCGCCCAAGGGCAACUUCUCUGGCGUUUGGGGGCAUUUGUCAUACUUCCAUUCGACGGGCAGCAAAAGUAAACAUGGAAGUUGGAACUUGGAUGGUAUAAAAAGAACGAUCCAACAGAGAAGAGAUGGAAAACUAAAAUUCCGCAUAUUUUUGUUCAAAGGGGGUUUGGGGGGUGUUGAAAGGAAAGGAAUGGGGAGCAUGCUGUGGCAAACAGAUGUACAAAUGAGGGUCUGCAAGUGGAGGGUGUGCGGUGGGGAGAUCGAGGGGGCACAUGCAAUCUUGCACUGGAGCAAAAAACAUUCCUCAUUUAUGAUUUAAUGCGUUCUACAUUUUAACGCAAGUAACAUGUUAUUACUUAUGUGGCUUGGCGAAUAUUAAUGAUACUCCAUAUUGAGAAAUGUGACUAAUUUCUUGUUCUUUAAAUGCAAAACUGAAUAGAACUGUUA